rnacentral:rRNA from 1 species
UUUUAGUUGCCAGCAGGUAAGGCUGGGCACUCUAGAAUGACUGCCGGUGACAAACCGGAGGAAGGCGGGGAUGACGUCAAAUCAUCAUGCCCCUUAUGACUUGGGCUACACACGUACUACAAUGGSUGGUACAACGGGAAGCGAACCCGCGAGGUGGAGCCAAUCCUAUAAAAGCCAUUCUCAUUUCGGAUUGCGUGCUGCAACUCGCCUGCAUGAAUUCGGAAUUGCUAUUAAUCGCGGAUCAGCAUGCCGCGGUGAAUACGUUCCCGGGUCUUGUACACACCGCCCGUCACACCACGAGAGUUUACAACACCCGAAGUCGGUGGGGUAACCCGCAAGGGAGCCAGCCGCCGAAGGUGGGGUAGAUGAUUGGGGUGAAGUCGUAACAAGGUAGCCGUAUC